GUAGGUGAACCUGCGGAAGGAUCAUUAACACUUUUAUCCUUUUAUUCAAACCCCAAUGUGAACUUGUCUUCUACCCCUUUACAAUUUCCAUUCAUUAGUUUUACUAUUGAGUGGAGAAGGUGAAGGGCCCUCAAGUUUUUUCUUCUCUUCUCUCUUUUCUUAAGAGUAGUUAGUGAAGGAGAAACUGUAUUCCUUUUCCAUUUUUCUAACUCCUAUAAUCAACCUUAACUGUUGAACUAAAUCCAAUCGCUUCUUACUUUUUCCUUUGUAACAGAAGGAUCUAGAGGAUAGUGAGUGAUCUUACGUAAUGUAUGAACAACUCUUAGCAAUGGAUAUCUUGGUUCUC
rnacentral:misc_RNA from 1 species